CUAUGGUAGCUUUACCGCCCGCCAGCAGGUGCCGCCGUGGGCCAGGGCUGCACCUGGAUGGUCGUGGCAGCGUACGGCUGGCCAGCGGGCACGUAGGCGCGGCUGCUGCUGUUGAAGCCAGUGGUGAGGGCAGAGUUGUUCUGGUAGGUCGUGAUGGCAGCGUUCAUCUGGGCAAUCAGCAUCGGAGGGUCAACGUAGCCGAUGUUCUUGGUGUUGAGCAUGGCGGUCAGGGCCUUGGUCUGGGAAGCGAUGGUGGCGUUCAGGUACUUGUCGAAGUAAGCCGGGCCAAAGGUCUUGUUCACGGCGAUGUUCUCCUUGGUCAGCUGGGCGUACAGGGUCACCGUCACGUUCUGCAUCGGAAACAACAGGGACAAGUGGGGUUCAGACGGCGGGCACGGAAACAGGCAACGCACUUUUGUCUCGCGAAUUAAUAGCGCUUGGGUCGAGACCCCGGACCGGGGCCUCCGGCUUUCACACGCGUAGGAAGUCGCGCAACGACCGGGACAUUCAGUGUCGGCUGAAACAGUAUGGACACGGGAGCCCGCAACAUGACUUAACCGGGACUCCCAACAGCCGCUUCCCGUUUAAACCUACCGUCAUGCCCUUCUUGUACUUGGCGAUGUCCUUGGACAUGGUCAGAGACGGCGAGUAGGCGCCGUACGCGAAGAUGGCAGCGCAGAGGAAGCCCGACACAAUCAGGGUAAAGAUCCAGGCAACGACCUGCUUGGCGAACAGCUUCCAGUUCACGCCGCUGCGCAGGUCCUCGACCAGGCCCACGCCCAUCUCAGCGCCGGUGAUGCACUGGGUGGUGGAGAUGGGCAGGCCGUACACGGAGGCCAGCGACACGGUGAACGAAGUGCCCAGCUCAGCCGAGAAACCGCGGGACGGCGUCAUCUGCGAACCGGGCAUGAAACGGCAUGCGUUACAAGGGCAAGCUAGGGAAAUGCAGGCACAUUUGAAGAGGGAGGCUCGCACAAGGCGACAGCAUGCGUGCCCCGCCCAUCCGGACGUGUCAAUGUGCUGGGCAUUCAUAGCGUUCCAGGUCCCAAAAGCGUGCCCAUUCCACCCCCCACGCACCUUGGCCAGGCCCACGCCCAGAGUCAUCAUGAUGUUGUAGCCGUAGGUAGCCAGGCCCACCACAAUGCCGGCGCCGCCCAUGGCCAUCACCCAGAUGGGGGUGUCGCCGUUGGACGUGAUGGUCCAGAAACGGUACACGUACCAGAUGCCGGAGAAGGGGCCGACAGCGUUGGCGACAUCGUUGGCUCCGUGCGCGAAAGACACGGCGCAGGCAGAGAAGACCUGCAGGUACUUGUACACCUGCUCGGUCUCGGGGGAGAACACCUCGGCGGCAGCGUGCAUGUCGUGGAUGGUCUGGUCGUGCUCCACGUGCUGCGCGCGGCAAGGGCACCAGGGAGGUCUCGCGUGAAUACACUGGCAAGUUUGUGCUCGGGGUUUCGGGGUCUACACCAACCCACCCAGCUCCAUACCGUUCACUGCCGAAAUGUCCAGGACCCACCUCGUGAAUGUCGACGUUCAGGCCGCGGGUGGCAGCCUUCUUCAUCGAGUUGAAGAUCUUCAUGGCCUUGGAGGUGGGCUCAGCCUCCACCUCCUCCUCCUUGGGCUUGCCGGCGUUGGCCUCGGCGUCAGCAGCCUUCUGGGCAGCCCUGCAGAGUCGAGCAUUCCCAAAGUGUUAGCAGUUGCUUUGCCGCAAGCAUGUCCUGCGACUAUGAAUACCGGUAUGCAUAUGCAUGGCGCUCCUGACGGCACACGGACACAAGACGCACGGCAACGCAGCACCUAGCGUCAAACGCACCGGUCCAUGUCCUUGGUGACGGCACGGCGCAGCAGCCACAUGCCGGGGAAGAUGGCGAGAAGCAUGCAGCCUGCGGGUCAAUCCGUGGGGUUACAUUCAUGACUAAUCAGGGAAGUCGUACACGGGCCACCUGUGGCCUCGGGUGGGUCAAUCCCAAGCAAUGGUUGUCCAAAUAUCCCGGUCGUUAGUGUCAUAAUGCAACCCAGUCAGAACCGCAGACGACUCUUAACGCUUACCAGCAGUAAUGCACGCAGCCACCCAGGCGGCCUUGUUCGAGUCCCAGUGAGCCACGUUCUUGGCUCCCUUGUAGAUCACGAAGAAAACUGUUGGAACAAGUCCAUGCACGCAAACCGAGCGUUAGCGGAGCGGACACCUGGCAUGUAUCCGGUUUUGGCAUCAGGCGCCUCCGGCCAGAACAAUUGCUCGUCAGACCCACGCCACUGCAACACACAAUCGCACGCCCGGCGAUGACUUCGGCAACCUGCAUCCCUCCAAGCCCUAUGCAAAUGUACGUGCAAUUCCAGCACCAACGGCACCUUAUGAGCCCGUAACUGAUCUCCAGCCACCCACCGUUGAUGAACACGGUGACACCAACCAGCAGGGGGUACAUGUAGAUUGCCAGGUUGGUCGAGUUCUCGCGGCGGAGGAUGCACACGCGGUUGAGCCAGAAGAUGAUGGCAGACGCAAUGCCUGCAGCAAGGGAAGAGGGUUGGGUGCACGAGUGUGUGAGAAGCAGUGCACGCAAUCGUAAUGGAAUAAGCAACCGAUCCAUGCAUGACAGACGAAGCCGACGUGCAGCUGCGGCAGGAAGAUGAGUACAGGUUCCAGGAACGCAGGUCUUGCCCCGACCCAUGGCGAGCCUCACUAAUUUGUGAGUUCCACGACACCCCACACUCAGGCUGAACGAACACGUACACGCCUGUCUUGGCAUAAGACAGUGCACUCACCCGACAUGAGGGGCGACACGAACCAGGAGCAGAUGACGGGCACCAGACCCUUCGAGUAGGGGAAGGCGUCCAUGUGGUCGUUCCACACCACGGCGCCAGAGCCACCCCACACCAGGGCAAAGCCCAUCACCGCGCCGAUGACGGAGUGAGUGGUGGACACGGCCAGGCUAAAGUAGGUAGCGGUGAACACCCAGGUAGAGGCGGAAAUGAGCGCGCACAUCAUGCCGUACGCGAACAUCUCUGGGAGGUCCUGGAACGCGGUGGGGCGAGCGAUGGAGCCAGCGAUGGUCUUGGUCACCUCGCCACCCAGGCCGAUGGCUCCGGCGAACUCGAAGACGGAAGCGAUGAGGCAAGCCUGCUUCAGGGUAAUGGUCUUGGCGCCGACGGAGGUGCCGAAGGCGUUGGCCACUGUUGGGGGUAGGGGGUUGCAGGUCGGGUUAGUGCCAGGAUAUACACUUGCAUUGGGCUAGUCCGUAAGCGGAGCUGGUUUCCGUGUCAGUGGCACCCUGUUCCACCGGAAUCAGGUCAAGGGACCUGAAGCUGAUGCUCACCAUCAUUGGCACCGAUGCCGGCGGCCAUGAUAAAUGAGACAAUGAAGCCCACAAUCACCAGCCACAUGUAAUCUGCAUCCAGAUGCAGCAGAAGAAAAGAGCAGUGUUGGUAGGCGCAGGAGUUGCGUUGGGGCGGCCCAUGGAGCUAUGGCUACAACAUUAUGCUGGCAAGACCUAGCAUUACGAUGCGCCUACCUGUCCAGUACUCCGGCGGCAUCUGCGGGCGGGUAGGAACAUGAGCGCGGGCAGAGGGGCAAAAGUGAACAGCGAGGGCGAGGGAAAGCAACAGGAGGGAAGGAGGUGCGGCGCUGCGAAGGAGGUGCGGCGCUGCGGAAGAAAGCCAAUGCUAGGCAAAACGCUGACUACAAUAUCGAGUCCACCAUCAAGCGGCUGCCCCAUAAGCAAGUUCGUCGGAGAACGUGAUGCUGAUGCGGCGCAAGCAAUCGGUCACGCUCGGCGGCUGAAGUCAUCGCAAGCCGAACAGACAAUAACGGCCUGAUGCCCGCUGCAACUCUAGUGUUACGCCACACCACCGCAGCGCUGAAACGGGAGUGAACAACCCCACGGGUGUCAGUCCACUUUACGUCUGUCCUGGCCACCCACCUUCGCUGGACUGUCGGUCGCUUAAACAGCCCGUCAAGGCAGGAAGGUACUCUAGAAAGAGAGAACAGGCAGGCUCAGAGCAGGAGUGUGUGGUCGUCGAAGGUCCACCUUUACGGCUUGGCGAAGCAGGUUGUGGCAAAGUCUCUUAAUUAUGUCAAAGGUUGCUCACACACGCUUUAUGCGGCAGCUGAAAUCCGGCGAGAGGCGGUUUCGCCGGAAUUUCGUCAUCAUGAUGAUUCCAAAGGAAUCAAGUUGCUUUUUUGCGGAACAAGCUUUUCACAAGCUUUUCACAGGCGCAGCAUUGACUUUGUUAGUCCUGUCAAAAAUUUUGCAUUCCGAGGUGAAGCACCUCGGAAAUUCUCUGUCUGACAGAGAAGUCUACGAAAUUCUCUGGAGUAACGCAAAUUAAUGCACGUUUUAGAAAACAUACGAUAUCACACAUGCAUCAAACUGGGACGCGACGAUGUCCCGAAACGCUGGAUUUCAACCUUCCCACUCAGAGCAGAAAACGCAGUCAUGGCCUCUGCGUCAUCGCCGGGAAACGAUACUAAAUGCAAUUCAUCAUGAAGAACUCAAACAACUCAAUAUCAGAACAAACCCCCCUCGCAUCAAACUGAAGACAGAGUGCCGCCAUCCGCCACGGCACGCCAUACAAGUCACCGUCAAUGCAGUGGGUCGGCGCCGCAGGGCUUAUCCGUGCGGCGUAGAACUGUUUGGCGGGCAGGUUGGCACGGGGUGGAGCGGUUGAACCGGUGGUGACAUUGAGCCGCGGUGACGAUGCUCGAGGUAGUCGAAGUAGCCUGCGCGUCUCCAUACAGCUGCAGCUCCACAUGGGCGCAAAUGUGGCAUAGCAAGGGGCAGGCACGGCAGGCGGCACGUCAAUGGCACAGACCCGCAGGGAUGCGGUGGGACAGGGUGUGCGAUGGGACAGGGGAAGGGCACGGGGUAAGGGGCAGGUUGGCAGCCCCGUAGAGUUCAGCGUAUUCCCAAAUGGUCGCGGAAUGGGACAUCAGGCGAGACAUAUCAAGAUGGCCGCAUCAGCUAAGAUUCACAACUCACCUGUCCCGGGAAGGUAGCAUUCAUCACGGGCAUCCAGCGAGCGGUGUCGGUCUUCAGGUUAUGGAUGGACUGCAAGGCAGGCCUGCCGUGCAGGGGAGUCAGGUGACAAGGGGAACGUUGGGCGCGUCAGUUGGACGAAACACAUGUGCUGCGCCCAAGCGGCCCCGCUUCCAUACGGCAUGCAAUACGUAAUGCGCGAAUUGCCUUUUAAGGAGCCAAUGCGUGUCAUACGGUAAGCUAAGAACCCAACCACAGCAGGCCAAGACUUACGAUAUCAUAGUGGAUGUCCUUGCUAUUGGCCAGCUCCAGCACGUCGGGCGCCGGUCAACAGGGGCGCCUGCGGUUCAUUAAGUGACAAUGUAGGGGCAACCGUAUGAAGACGGCCAAGGGUCGAAGGGGACUGAAGUGUGCUUCGGCGAUGGUGGACACGCAAGGCCAUGGGCAAACCGUGUCCAGGAAGCCACUCACCGUAGGCGUGCACACAUAACACAAAAUAGCAAAACUGCAGUAUACGGGCAAACCGUGUCCAGGAAGCCACUCACCGUAGGCAUGCACACAUAACACAAUCAAGCGAAACUGCAGUACGGUAUACAUGCUUAGGAACCAUGCAAGUGAACCAGAAGACAGAAGUCCAAACAAUGUUUACAGUAUUAAUCAUGCAUCGGUGUUUCCCGCACAACAAGAAAGCACUCGUCAGGUGGGAUCGUAAAAGUGUGCAAGCAGUAUGCAACAAGUUCCCUACACCGACUACAGGCUGCCACUGUGCCAAACAACAGUGCAAGCCUCACAGUGCAAGCCUCACAGAGCCUGCCUCACAGAGCCUGCACAGCAACCACUCUGUCAGCAAAGAGCCGUAUCUCAGUAUCUAGUGGCAGCUUAGCAGCCUUAAGCCAGCACCACACCAUCCUGCAGACCGCGUCCUCUACGUGCCCGCACGCGCAGUAGUCCUGGUUUUCAUGGUCAGUCACGUUCUCAAUGAUUUAUUCUAGGAAUGCAACAGCCUACCGCCCGCCAGCGGGUGCCGCUGUGGGCCAGGGCUGCACCUGGAUGGUCGUGGCAGCGUACGGCUGGCCAGCGGGCACGUAGGCGCGGCUGCUGCUGUUGAAGCCAGUGGUGAGGGCAGAGUUGUUCUGGUAGGUCGUGAUGGCAGCGUUCAUCUGGGCAAUCAGCAUCGGAGGGUCAACGUAGCCGAUGUUCUUGGUGUUGAGCAUGGCGGUCAGGGCCUUGGUCUGGGAAGCGAUGGUGGCGUUCAGGUACUUGUCGAAGUAAGCCGGGCCAAAGGUCUUGUUCACGGCGAUGUUCUCCUUGGUCAGCUGGGCGUACAGGGUCACCGUCACGUUCUGCAUCGGAAACAACAGGGACGAGUGGGGUUCAGACGGCGGGCACGGAAACAGGCAGCGCACUUUUGUCUCGCGAAUUAAUAGCGCUUGGGUCGAGACCCCGGACCAGGGCCUCCGGCUUUCACACGCGUAGGAAGUCGCGCAACGACCGGGACAUUCAGUGUCGGCUGAAACAGUAUGGACACGGGAGCCUGCAACAUGACUUAACCGGGACUCCCAACAGCCGCUUCCCGUUUAAACCCACCGUCAUGCCCUUCUUGUACUUGGCGAUGUCCUUGGACAUGGUCAGAGACGGCGAGUAGGCGCCGUACGCGAAGAUGGCAGCGCAGAGGAAGCCCGACACAAUCAGGGUGAACACCCAGGCAACGACCUGCUUGGCGAACAGCUUCCAGUUCACGCCGCUGCGCAGGUCCUCGACCAGGCCCACGCCCAUCUCGCCACCGGUAAUAAUUUGGGUGGUGGACACAGGCAGGCCGUACACGGAGGCAAUGGAGACGGUGAACGAGGUAGCCAGCUCAGCGCAGAAGCCGCGGGACGGCGUCAUCUGCGGAACAGGCAUUGUAGGGGGAACAAGUGCCAAGGGUGAGCUGGAGAGCGCCGGAAACUUAUGCUCGCAAGCAUGACCGCUCCUACUAUCAAACCCUGCCACUGCGCCAUACAUGAGCAGUGUCCACGCGCCCACAGCCUGCUGCCUUUGCAUCAGCGCACCUUGGCCAGGCCCACGCCCAGAGUCAUCAUGAUGUUGUAGCCGUAGGUAGCCAGGCCCACCACAAUGCCGGCGCCGCCCAUGGCCAUCACCCAGACGGGGGUGUCGCCGCUGGACGAGAUGGUCCAGAAGCGGUACACAUACCAGAUGCCGGAGAAAGGGCCGACAGCGUUGGCGACAUCGUUGGCUCCGUGCGCGAAAGACACGGCGCAGGCAGAGAAGACCUGCAGGUACUUGUACACCUGCUCGGUCUCGGGGGAGAACACCUCGGCGGCAGCGUGCAUGUCGUGGAUGGUCUGGUCGUGCUCCACGUGCUGCGCGCGGCAAGGGCACCAGGGAGGUCUCGCGUGAAUACACUCGCAAGUUUGUGCUCGGGGUCUCGGGGUCUACACCAACCCACUCAGCUCCAUACCGUUCACUGCCGAAAUGUCCAGGACCCACCUCGUGAAUGUCGACGUUCAGGCCGCGGGUGGCAGCCUUCUUCAUCGAGUUGAAGAUCUUCAUGGCCUUAGAGGUGGGCUCAGCCUCCACCUCCUCCUCCUUGGGCUUGCCGGCGUUGGCCUCGGCGUCAGCAGCCUUCUGGGCAGCCCUGCAGAGUCGAGCAUUCCCAAAGUGUUAGCAGUUGCUUUGCCGCAAGCAUGUCCUGCGACUAUGAAUACCGGUAUGCAUAUGCAUGCGCGCGCAUCGUCUCAGACCCUACAACAAAUUGAACACAAGCAAUCUGCACAAUCAAGCAGACAAACUGAAGAAGCACAGUGCCUCCCGUAAUGUACUCACCGGUCCAUGUCCUUGGUAACGGCACGGCGCAGCAGCCACAUGCCGGGGAAGAUGGCGAGAACCAUGCAGCCUGCGGAUCAGUUCACACCGACACAACUUUCAAUGGCUAUUCUCGGUUGCGUGAAGCCUGUGCAUUGCAGUUCCUGACACUGGCACGUGAAGUGCCCAGCUUGCCACCGGGUGGCACACAGCACCACAGCAGGUAUUCGCACCAGUGCUUUGCUCACCGGCCAUGAUGCACGCAGCCACCCAGGCGGCCUUGUUCGAGUCCCAGUGAGCCACGUUCUUAGCUCCCUUGUAGAUUACAAAGAAAACUGUGGGCAGGCAACAGAGGCAAGAUGAAACGUGACGAACACGAGCAGUUCCUCAAUAGACACUAUCGCCUCUGUCACUUGUGGCAGUCAACAGACAGUCAACUAGAGGGCGUGCUCUCGACUAUCAUACUGGUUGAUACAUUGCAAUGCGCGCACAGUACUGCUGAGUCCCGGCAAGACCACCAUGCCGGCUAGAUUCCUUGGGUGUUGCAUUGUCUACCUCCUUCCAGCCACCCACCAUUGAUGAAGACGGUGACACCCACAAGAAGGGGGUAAAAGUAAAUUGCCAACUGGGUUGAGUUCUCGCGGCGAAGGAUGCACACGCGGUUCAGGCUGAAGAGAAUAGCAGCAGUAAUUCCUGCCGCAAGGAGGAAGGAAUAGUUGGUUAGAUAUGUGAGAAUCUGGGGGGACACACUAAAAAGCAACAUUUAGGCCUGCUGCAGGAUAGUGAAACGAGGAAACCAUUACUCAGGUCGGAAUUGCUUCGCACUUACCCGACAUGAUGGGCGACACGAACCAGGAGCAGAUCACGGGCACCAGACCCUUCGAGUAGGGGAAGGCGUCCAUGUGGUCGUUCCACACCACGGCGCCAGAGCCACCCCACACCAGGGCAAAGCCCAUCACCGCGCCGAUGACGGAGUGGGUGGUGGAUACGGCAAGGCAGAAGUAUGUGGCAACGAACACCCAGGUAGAUGCGGCAAUAAGCGCGCACAUCAUGCCGUACGCGAACAUCUCUGGGAGGUCCUGGAACGCGGCGGGGCGAGCGAUGGAGCCAGCGAUGGUCUUGGUCACCUCGCCACCCAGGCCAAUGGCACCGGCGAACUCAAAGACGGAAGCGAUGAGGCAAGCCUGCUUCAGGGUAAUGGUCUUGGCGCCGACGGAGGUGCCGAAGGCGUUGGCCACUGUUGGGGGUAGGGGGUUGCAGGUCGGGUUAGUGGCAAGGCACUAGGGCAAGGGUUACUGGUGCAAUAUCUACAUGGAGGUAAGGUCCACAUUGUUGCGGACCCAACACUCACCAUCGUUAGCACCAAUACCGGCGGCCAUAAUAAAUGAGACAAUAAAGCCCACAAUCACCAGCCACAUAUAAUCUGUUAGGCAGGUGGCGUUGACAAUUGGAGGGAGGAGCAAGGGGCAGAUGAUGGGGUACCGUAAGUUUGGUUCUGAAGGUGGAACGGGGCAGCAGCACGGCGCUUGCAGUGAUGGCAGGCCCAGCACUGCUUUCGCAACGUCAUGUAAUUCCAUUUUACUAGUCCCAAACAUUGCGCUUACCUGUCCAGUACUCCGGCGGCAUCUGUGGGGCCGACCAAAGAAAAAGAAGGGAAGUGGCAGGAGGGGGCGUGAGCCGAGCGUCACAGCAGUCGGCUGACUGGCCCCAGGGAGCUGGGCUAUAUAAGGUGAGAGUGACCAGGGCUUCCUUUGUUUCAAUCAACCUAUUGAGUAUGUCUUUGUGGGUUCCGUUCCUGAGCGGACAAGUGCGCAGCAAGCACGGAGUGUAGAGCAUGGACAUCCCUGUAUUUGCAUGGCGGGCACACGGACGACUAGUCCGCGCCAGGCGACGAGCGGACAUACCUUUGCGAGAGUUGUCGAUCCAAAACCCCGUCAGGGCGGCAGGUGCUGGCUGGCCGGGCGGAAGGGCGCUCAACCUCAAGAGGGAUUUAUCAAGCGGUGCACGGCGUCGUGCGCUCGGUACUUCUGGAGGCGGGUCUAGGUUUGCGUCUGUCACAAUUAGUUGUAUGGGGUAUGUGAAUUGAUAUAUAAUGGUGGAAGCCCGACAAAUGCUGGCCCAAUGAGAAAGAGGGGAAUUCCUGUCUCACCGACGAUAUUCGGCAUCACCAACGUUACCCGGCCGCGCCCUCCAUUCACUCGUUGCAGUGCAUUACAAGGAUUUCGCUAUAUCAGAGUGUGUGAUUGAAGUGCAGAAGAUGCGAGUCAGAGGAACGGUCGGGCAGGUCCGGGGUGGGGUGUUCGUAAGUCGGGUACCGGCGGAAGGCGGGUACACGAAUGCCCAUGCUGUCAACCGCACCGCCAGGCCCGCAUGUGGUGUCGCGAGCUAGCUGGCUAUGCAUAAGUAUAGAGUAUAAUUAAGUUUGUAUUCCUCCAGCCGCUGUUUGCAAUACACACUCCCCCACCAGAAGCAGGGUGGGAUGAACCCGAUUGCCUCGCUCGCCCUCCCUGUUCAGUCAUUCAGCCGCUAUACAAUUCCCGGUCUUCAGAGUGCGGCUUCGUGCAGCGGUUGGUCACGACUAUCCAACCUGCUCCCGUCACGUGCCUCCCCGUGCUCGUAUGCGUGUCGCCCUGUCAGCUCCCUGCUUUGCUCCCUCCUAGGCCUUCCCUGCCCUGCCUGUGCCUCACCGUGAACCUGGACAGCAGGCCCGCCAGCGCGUCCCGGCUGAGCUUAACCAGGAUGCCGGCUUUCUCCAGCGGCUCCAGCAGCGCAGCCUAGCAUGCAUAUAAUGUUAGCAAACGCUAGCAAACAGUGUACAGUAUACGAUUGUGUACCUUAACGAGUCCCACCUGGCUAGGUGCAUUCACUCGAGAGCCUUGAUCCUUGACAACGCCUGCCGCCGAAAGCAUUGUGCAGCCACAUGCGCAUCCAGGCCCACCAGGUGUACAGCUACACUGACAGCCUGUGCUCACGGGUGGAAGCAUGGAGGGGAAGAGCGCAUGUCAGGUGUGCGGGACAGGUUCGUCCAGGACAGGCGACAGCAAGCCAGCAAAAUGCAACACAGUAUGGGCGGGGCACAGCACCACCACAGCGCACAUGUCCAGGAGGCACAUGACUUGCCUGUGGUUCCUUGAUCGCAUCGUUGCAUCCAGGCACAUGCGACCGCGCACACACAUGUUAGGCAUUGAACACAUAGUCUCUCCCUGUGCAGUGACUGCACACACAAGCCUGACGGACAGCGGCGGUUCAGAGAGCAACCGUCCUUCACACUUGCAUUGCUAAAAUGCUGUGCGCUAGUGUCUUCACCUCUUCGCCCCGAUAUCUCACGGACGGGACUGAUUGCCACAGUGAUUACAAACAAGUGUCAGGAACAGUCGUGCACAAUACCCCACGCAUCAUCAAAGAUAUCCCAGCCCGCUAUCCAGCCCCGCCUAUCGUAUUUCUAGCCUAUGUAUUGCCUGCACGCGUUAGGCUCGUUGGGCCCGCUCGCAUUCGUAAUCACCGGUAGCGAUGAUCGUACUCGAAUUCAAUGUCAUUCAGUGAGUCAUGAUAGGCGAUUGAGUUCCAUCCUGCUCACAAGGUUGCAAGUCGUGAUGGCACCAGUCCACAUGUCCGACAACGGUAAUACUGACAUUCAAUCAAAAUCUAUGCCACUGUAAAAGUGAUGUGCAAACCGCUGAGCCACAUGACACUACGCCGUGCCCCACUUCAGCAGUUGUGCGCGACGCAGGCCUGGCCUUACCGCCCGCCGGCGGGAGCGGCCACGGCGUAGGGCUUGACCUCGAUAGUGCUGGCGGCGUAGGGCUGGUUGGCGGGCACGUAGGCGCGGGUGGAGCGGUUGAAGCCGGUGGUGACUACAGAGUAGUUCACGUAGGUAAGGUACGCGUUGUUCAUCUCGGUCGCCAGCUGGGUGGGGUCGAUGUAACCAAUGGUCUUACUGUUGAACAUGUUGGUGAGGGUCCGCGUGUUGGUGGUGAUGGUGCGGUUCAGCGUGGGGUCGAACUGCAGCAAGGAAAGGGGGGCAAGGUCACGGGUGGUGGAGGAUACCGUACAUGUCGAACGCGGCAAGCAAGUCGCGCGCUCAGCGUGGGCAAGUGUGUGUGUGUGUGCGGGUGUUUGGUUAUGCGUGUUUUGGAGAGCAUAAUUAGAAGAGAGCGAAACUGUAUGUGAAUGGGAAGGUGUGUGUGUGUGUGUGUGUGUGUGCGCGCGCGCGCAAGGGGGAACGCUUAGCCCGCUGCCGAGGUGAUACAGGCGACAUGAGAAGAAACGCAUGACAACUGGGCUGGUUGCCUAGGUAGCGAUGAUGCUCGUAACAGGGGCCAUUGGUUGUAUCCGCGCCGGGGCAUGCAUGUAAAUGCUGCAGCUGGGCCUCGCCGGUGAACCCACCUGACCAGGGAAGCUGGUGUUCACCGCCACGUUGGAGGCGUUGAGCGAGCGGUAGAUGACGGUGGUCAGGUUGCGGAUGGACUGCAAGGCAAGGGCAAGGAGCACGCGUAGGGUAAGGCGCAGAACUGUUGGGGACUGGGGAGGCAACGUGCCGCGAACGGCAGGACUCGAUACGUGAAAGGCCAAGAGCCCAGCCGGCGUGCUCACACAGCACAAAGCCAAACAGAGGGCCAGGGCUCACCGUCUCAUACUUCAAGAUGUCCUUGCCCAUGGUCAGCGACGGAGCGUAGGCGCCGAAAGCGAAGAUGGCGGCAGACAGGAAGCCGGCAAUGAUCAGGGUGAACACCCAGGCGGCGAAUUGCUGAGGGGAGACGAAGGAUGGGAAAGGGAUGUCAACAAGGCAUGUAAGCAAGCAUGGGCCGUGGGCGGUGUGUCCUGAGUCACAAAUGGCAUUGGCUGCAUCCAUCACAUGACAGGUUACUCCCAUGGCCACGAGCACCCCGCCCCGCACCUUGGCCAGCAGCCUGUAGUUCACGCCGGUGCGGACGCUCUCGACCAGGCCCACACCCAUUUCGGCACCGGUGAUAAUCUGAGUGGUGGACACAGGCAGGCCGUACACGGAGGCGACGGAGAUGGUGAUGCCGGCGGCCAGCUCAGCGCAGUAGCCACGGGCGGGAGUCAUCUGCGUGGCCAGACACGUUUGGGACCACUGUCAGUCUCGCUGCGCAAAGCAAGUGUGGAGCACUGCGCCAUCCCGUACGUUCCAAGUGAUGUUCCCUCUCCAGUGCCAUUUUAACGGCACGAAGUAAAACCCCUUGGGCUGUGCGCACCUUGGCCAGGCCCACGCCCAGGGUCACAAUGAUGUUGUAGCCGUAGGUAGCCAGGCCCACCACAAUGCCGGCGCCGCCCAUAGCAAGCACCCAGAUGGGGGUCUCGCCGUUGGAGGCGACGUUCCAGAAGCGGUACACGUGGUAGAUACCGGCGAAGGGGCCCACAGCGUUGGCGACAUCGUUGGCUCCGUGCGCGAAAGACACGGCGCAGGCGGAGAAGACCUGCAGGUACUUGUACACCUGCUCGGUCUCGGGGGAGAACACCUCGGCGGCGGCGUGCAGGUCGUGGACGGCACGGUCGGUCUCGACGUUCUGCAUUAUUUCAGCCAGGCGAGGGCAUAAGGAGCACAGGCACAGGUCAAGAAUGCACAUGCAGGGGCUGUGUAAUGUGGGCAUGCACGCAUGUCUGACCCAGCAAACUUGAAACAGAACGCAUGUAUGGCGUGACAGACCGAAAGCCUGUGACCAAAGCACCAAGGCCUUCCUAUCCAACGCAAAAAACACUAACCCACCGCAUGGAUGUCCACGUCCAGGCCACGGGUGGCGGCCUUCUUGAUCGAGUUGAAGAUCUUCAUGGCCUUGGAGGUGGGCUCAGCAUCCUCCACACCCUCCUUCUCCUUGCCAGCGUUGGCCUCGGCGUCAGCGGCCUUCUGGGCAGCCCUGCAGGCGCGCCGAUAAGAGCGAAUGUGUCAGCGACAAACAAACAGGAGCAUAAGCAACUCAAGCCGAAACAUGUUCAUACAACCGAGUAUGGGAUGAACAAACAGAUGUGCAGGUGCAGGCGCACGCCAAGGCCUGUCCACC
rnacentral:lncRNA from 1 species